UUAAGAGUCAAAUCUUUUCUUUCUUUUGAAGCAAGGAAGAGAUUGGUAGCAGCUACAUUUUUGUCAGUGUUGGAUUACUGUGAUAUCAUUUAUAUUCAGGCACCUAAACAUCGUUUACAGGCGUUGGAUUUGGUUUAUCAUGGAGCAUUAAGGUUUAUCACAAAUUCAAGAGCCCUUAUUCAUCAUUGUUUAUUGUACUCUCAGGUUGGUUGGUCGGUGUUGUUAACCCUGUAGACUUAAACAUUGGUACUUAUUUAUAUAUAAAAUCAUUUUAGGUUUAACUUCCUUUGUAUUUACAGCAGAAUAUCAUUAAAAAAAAGGUGUACAGAAUUAUGGGCUUUGCUCACAAGCAUGGGCUUAUCUUUUAAUCAUCCCUAAAUUCUGUACUAAUAUAAGUCAGUGGGCAUUUAGUUAUGCUGCUCCAUUUGACUGAAAUCAAGUUGUCGUGAGACUCAAAUGUGACAACUGGUCCCUGAUGAAUGAAUAAUUGAAAGUAUCCACCUUAUUCUUAUAAACACAGAGCUACAAUAAAAUUGAAACUCAAUCCCAAACUUUGCAGAAGCGCAAGUAAAAGAUAUGUCAUAGUUAUACUAUAAUGUUACUCUCAUUUUAUCAUCACCUGUAUAGUACUAAAAACUUGUUCAACAUCACAGUUGGGAAUCAUGUGGGUCGAGUGCAUUUAAAUUAAUGCUUUAGCUGCUGACAAGUUAAAAUCUCUAUCGCGCUGAUCCUGGUGUAUAGAAAAAGUAGUGCUCAUACAAACACACUCUCACACUAAAGAUUAAACACAAUCUCUGAGAUCAUUCAUGUUCUUCACUCUCUGCAGGCUGCGGGGUUGCAGUAUUGGAGAGGAAGGCUGUGCUGCUCUGAUUUCAGCUCUGAGAUCAAACUCAUCACACCUGAGAGAACUGGAUCUGAGAUGUAAUAAACCAGGAGACUCAGGAUUGAAGUUGCGCUCUGCUCUACUGGAGGAUCCACACUGUAAACACAAGAAACUAUAUAUUUGACAGUGGAAACUUCACAAGCUCCAAACAAGUGAAUCAAAACAACACGUCCUGAACAAGACUGUCACCUGGACAAAUGCAGAUACUGAUCCAGCAGUUUCAUAUGUGAAGGAUUUUUGUUAUUAAUUUUCAUUUAGCCUAUUUUGUUUUU